GAGUUAGACAGGAAUUAGCAAUGCCAUGCAACAGUGAUAUCUUGCUUGUCACUUCCAACAGGUUUCUGCGGAGCCCUGCUGAGUAGCCUCUGGUAUCCAUCACUCUACUCUGCUUCGCUAGGUAAGCAAAUACAGCUCCAACUUGGUGAACCAUUUCUUGGAGGCUUCUGGAUCCCUACUUAAAAAUGAGAACCAUCUCAGUCGGGAGACCCCAACCCAGGUGGCACUGACGGUAGUUGAGAGGCAGACACCCAGAUUGCACAACAGAGUGGUCUAU
rnacentral:lncRNA from 13 species